rnacentral:rRNA from 1 species
GACGAACGCUGGCGGCGUGCUUAACACAUGCAAGUCGAACGGAAAGGCCUUUUCGGAGGUACUCGAGUGGCGAACGGGUGAGUAACACGUGGGUGAUCUGCCCUGCACUCUGGGAUAAGCCUGGGAAACUGGGUCUAAUACCGGAUAGGACCGCACUUUAGUGUGUGUGGUGGAAAGUUUUUUCGGUGUAGGAUGAGCCCGCGGCCUAUCAGCUUGUUGGUGGGGUAAUGGCCUACCAAGGCGGCGACGGGUAGCCGGACUGAGAGGUUGGUCGGCCACAUUGAGACUGAGAGACGGACCAGACUGCGACGGGAGGGAGAAGUGGGGAAUAUUGAACAAGGGGCGCAAGCCUGAUGCAGAGACGCCGCGGGUGGGAUGACGGUCUUCGGGUUGUAGACUCAUUGCGCCAGGAACGAAGCGUUUUGUGACGGUACCUGGAGAAGAAGCACCGGCUAACUACGUG